rnacentral:rRNA from 1 species
UACGGAGGGUGCAAGCGUUGUUCGGAAUUACUGGGCGUAAAGCGCGUGUAGGUGGCUUGCUAUGUCAGGUGUGAAAGCCCUCGGCCUAACCGAGGAAGUGCGCCUGAAACUGGCUAGCUUGAGUACGAGAGAGGAGGACGGAAUUCCCAGUGUAGAGGUGAAAUUCGUAGAUAUUGGGAGGAACACCGGUGGCGAAAGCGGUUCUCUGGAUCGAUACUGACACUAAGACGCGAAAGCGUGGGGAUCAAACAGGAUUAGAUACCCUGGUAGUCCACGCCGUAAACGAUGGAUAUUAGUUGUUGCGAGUUUAACCCUCGCAGUGACGAAGCUAACGCAUUAAAUAUCCCGCCUGGGAAGUACGGCCGCAAGGUUAAA